GUGCCAGCAGCCGCGGUAAUACGGAGGUUGCAAGCGUUGUUCGGAAUGACUGGGCGUAAAGGGAGCGCAGCCGGCUCGAUUAGUCUGGAGUGAAAGCCCGGGGCUUAACCCCGGAGGGUCUUCGGAUACUGUCGAGCUCGAGUACGGAAGAGGAGAGUGGAAUUCCAGGUGUAGCGGUGAAAUGCGUAGAUAUCUGGAGGAACACCGGUGGCGAAAGCGGCUCUCUGGUCCGAUACUGACGGUCAUGCUCGAAAGCGUGGGGAGCAAACGGGAUUAGAAACCCUAGUAGUCC
rnacentral:rRNA from 1 species